rnacentral:rRNA from 1 species
AGUGAACGCUGGCGGUAGGCCUAACACAUGCAAGUCGAACGGCAGCACAGUAAGAGCUUGCUCUUACGGGUGGCGAGUGGCGGACGGGUGAGGAAUACAUCGGAAUCUACUUUUUCGUGGGGGAUAACGUAGGGAAACUUACGCUAAUACCGCAUACUACCUACGGGUGAAAGCAGGGGAUCUUCGGACCUUGCGCGAUUGAAUGAGCCGAUGUCGGAUUAGCUAGUUGGCGGGGUAAAGGCCCACCAAGGCGACGAUCCGUAGCUGGUCUGAGAGGCUGAUCAGCCACACUGGAACUGAGACACGGUCCAGACUCCUACGGGAGGCAGCAGUGGGGAAUAUUGGACAAUGGGCGCAAGCCUGAUCCAGCCAUACCGCGUGGGUGAAGAAGGCCUUCGGGUUGUAAAGCCCUUUUGUUGGGAAAGAAAAGCAGCAGGUUAAUACCCCGCUGUUCUGACGGUACCCGAAGAAUAAGCACCGGCUAACUUCGUG